GGGGCUGACAAGGUUUCGACAGGGAUAUGCAGGGUAUAGAGAGCAGUCGGUUGAUCGCGUAUAGAUCAAACGCCUAUAAAUGGCAAUUCAAAUCGUUUAGCAUUUGCUGCUUAAUUAAGCCAUAGUCCUAUUUGGAAGCAAAUCACUAUUAUAGAAAUGGAUCUCUCGGUUCUAUAAUGGUGAAAUUUAGAGAGAAUAAGUAUUAACGAUAUCUAUAAGUUAGUAACGAAAAUUUUAUAGGUUAGUAGAAGUUAGAGUUGUUUAUUAAUCUUACCUUCUAUGAAAUUUAUUAAUAAACUAAACUUGUAGUGCUCUAUAUGUGGCUAUUUCUGGACCCGAGUUCAACUCUCGGCAGUUCCACCA
rnacentral:tmRNA from 2 species